ACACGUUUAGAUUUUCCACUUCAUUCCUAGCAAAACUAAAAGCUUUUGUUUGUUUUCCGAGUUUAUUUUUCCCGUUCGGGACGAGCGAAGCGGUGGGGGGUCGGGGGGAGGUGUAGUGUUACAUAGAAAGCUAUCCUGUUGCGUAUCAGUUUCAAUCUAAAUUUAGCAAGUCAUUUUGCGGUAUUACAAAAACAUACACACUCUUAAGUGUUGCUUCUAAUUGGUUACGACACACAUCGCGUAGAGCGAAGGUUGUACAGAUGAAAACUAACCGAAAAUUUCCAACAAAAAUAGAAGCACAGGAAAUGUGAGAAUAACGUGCAAUUCAAACUUCUUGAAGUGUACCCAAAGAAGAUUGAUGGGGAAAACCCGUGCACAUUCUUUCAUUGCAUAAUUAAAAAGGAAUUACAGAAGACUUUGGAAUUUUCCAA